AGAUCCCCACCUGAAACCCGGUAAUCAAGCUUGUAAAAAAGUAAAAAGAAAAGAAGGAGAAAAAUCUAACAAGCAAAGGAACUGACUGCCGCAGGUGUCGCAUAUGCCGAGCGUAGAAAACCAUUUGACUACGGAUCGGCGGGGGCAGGUCGUUCCAGAUUUUGGCGGCAGCAAAUUUAAAGCUACCACGGAAUGCAGUAGUACGAUGGCGGGGUAGCACCAGAGACCAGGCGCGAGAUCUGGUGAAGGACUUUUUAACUUCGCGGGACCACACUAGCUUCUCAGCCAGAUAAGGAGGAACACUAUAUUUUAUUACGCCAAACAGAAGUGUAGCUAGGUGUAAAUCUCGCCUCGCUUUCAUUUUUAAUAUAUUUCCCCUGUUCAUGUAUGCUGUUACGUGCGUGCGUGGAGGGAUUGUGAAACAGAAUCUCGCGCAGGCAUUCUGCACUCUUUGAAUAUGCCGUUGUGUACGCUCCAGCAAUCGUGGCCCAUACACUACGUCCAUAUAAUUAAAUUUGGAAAGGAUCAAAGAGUCGCACAUUUUUAUACGAGUUUCGACACUCAGGACCUUUGAUGCGCAAGACAAUAUACUUAUCGGGCGAAUAUCAUUUAAGGUAGAUGGAUCGUUCACCUUAGGUAUAGGCCUAACUACCGCACGAAGCCACUCACUUGGGAAUGUGCUAGUUUGUAUGGAUCUAUUUACCAUGGCGCAGAUAACCGGCAAGGUUGCAGGCAAUGAUAGUAAUAGCAUGUCCAAUGAAAUACCAUCGAGACCAAUUGCCUUUGACUUUAAGGACUGAAUAACUUUAAGUACCUCGGUUUCCUCCACUGUUUGAAUUUUAAAAGUUUCUGACACAGAACAGUUAUUGUUAAAGUAGGACAGAUCAGAUAAGGAGGUAUGUACAUUACCAGGCACUUUUAAAAAGUGUUCAUUUAUUAAGUCUGGGUCUUUAAAUAUAUGUGCUGGUAAUUCUGGUUUAGUUUUAAUUCUCACAUUAUUUUUAAUGUGUGUCCAUAAUACCCGCGAGUCCCUCUGGUUAUUUACAUAAGUGUCAAAGUAGGUUUUUUUUUCAAUAUGUAAAGCAUUAUUCACAAUUUUUUUCAAAUCUUUAUAAUAAGUCUUUUUCGACUCAUUGUAACUGCUUGUACGUACCCUGUUAAGUGCUUCGUCCCUUCGUUUCAUUAAUUGUUUAAUAUUGUACGUAAUCCAGGGGUAGCUGAAAUCUUUUAUAUACAAUAUACGAACUGGUGCAUGAAAAUCGAACAAGACACGUAUCAUAUUAGUAAAUUGAUCCACCAUGUCAUUUACAUUGCUCAAGUUGGUUAAACUCAUCCAGUCCAUGGCAAAUAGAUCCAUAUCAAAAUGUUCAAAAUUAAUAUUUUGAAAAUUCCGGCGCAUUAUUCUUAUCGGUGGUGGUUUCACCUUUGACACGUUUAGUAGGCAGGUGAUGAACGCGUGACUACUUAGCUCAGGCGUGAAAUGAACCUGCGCUAAUGUGUUAUCCAUGUCCGUACAAACCAAAUCAAUUAAAGUUUCACUAAACUCGGUGAAAUGUGUGGGCUCCGAUACACAUUGAAAUAAAUUAUGACAAUGCAGAAAGUUCAUUAAUGCGGUGGUACUCGUAUCUAAUUUGUGUAACAAAUUAACAUUAAAAUCUCCCAAUAAUACAAUUUUGUUGCACC